GCGAAAACUUUACAAUGCGGGAAACCGUGAUAAGGGAACUCUGAGUGCCCGUAAAAUCGGGUUGUCCAUCAGUUUAAAAAACUGGUGAAGAAAGGGCCGGGCAAGACCGGUGCCAGCCGCCGCGGUAAUACCGGCGGCUCGAGUGGUGGCCACUAUUACUGGGCUUAAAGCGUUCGUAGCGGGUUUGUUAAGUCUCUGGGGAAAUCUUCCGGCUCAACCGGAAGGCGUCUCAGGGAUACUGGCAGACUAGGGACCGGGAGAGGUGAGAGGUACUCCAGGGGUAGGAGUGAAAUCCUGUAAUCCGUGGGGGACCACCUGUGGCGAAGGCGUCUCACCAGAACGGCUCCGACAGUGAGGGACGAAAGCUGGGGGAGCAAACC
rnacentral:rRNA from 1 species